GAAGGGGUGAGAGGGAGAAACCUGCCGCGGCUCUCCGCCUCUUUGUCUGCUCUGGGACUUGGAACAAAAGGGGAAACUCUGAUGAACUCCUUCUCCAGCUCCCUGGACGCCCGAGUAUCUCUUUCUCGCAACUUUGUCAACGCGACUUUCUCCGCUGUCAGGCUGCGCAAAAGUAUCCUAGCGCCUCGCAGGCUGCAACAAUGGAAACAAUGUCCCUUCAAAGUGCGACGAAGUGGAGGGAGAAGGUGUCAUACCAGCGACUCCAAGAGUCAUGUCACCCACUUAGCAGGAGUACUUCUACUGAAAUGCCUUCGAAUUUCUCUUACUGGAUAUAUACCUACCAGCCGCUAGCAUGAAGAUGCCAGGACCGCUGCAAGUUAGCACUGGACAAAGUAGCAUCAACUUCUUCAUUUAGAGUUUCUUCAGUUAAAUUGCUGGGAUUUUCGACAAGGCUUUCCUUAUGUGGAUUAUUGGAGUGUGAUGCCCGAGAAUUCUCUACUUGUAGAAGAUCAUCCAGUAACCAACCCAGGAAGUUCUUGUAAGCAUGCAUUUCUUAGUCAACACUGAAUGCCUUUAGACCGAGGUCAACCUUUUCAGCUGGUACCGUGGUUUACACUGCUGAUGGGAAUGAGUGAUGGCCAUCCAGUGACCAGCUGGAUCUGACUGCCUUACAAGACGCAUGUGUAUGAUUAAGAGAGAGACAUUCGUGACUCCCAGAUGUACCUCCUUCCUGUCCCACAGUGUUCCUGAAGGGAGUGAGUUAUGGGGUAACUUAUAACACAGCAGGCUCUUCCUCAAGAUAGCUCUUGUCAAAACAGGAAGACGAAACUCGGGUUUCCAUGAGGAGACCACAGCUUGGGAUCCUGUCUGGAUGUACAAGCAGAAGCAUCUUCAUACUUUUCCAUUUCUAACCAUCAUGCCUCACCCCACCCUCCCAAGGCGACAUCUGCAGAGAGGUGGAACCAUCUAGGGAGGCCUGCCACUGUUUGCUGAGCUCCGGGUGAGGAUGAAGACACUUUGACAUGGCCAGCUUCAGACUCGGGAUCUGUCGGUGUUAGCAGCCGAAGGAGAAUGAGGAGGAAGAGGAGGAGAAAGAGGAGGAGGAAGUAAGACAGAGGGGGACAAGAGGACCAAGAGGGCACAUGGCUGAGGAGGAGGAGAACAACAACAACAACAACAACAACAACAACAACAAGAAGCUUGGUGUUUUCAGGAUGUGUUCCUGAGUCUCGUGAGUAGCACAUGGCAGUUGUUGUCACCUUGGGCUGAGCCGUGAAGAUUCUCACCCUCCCUUGUUGGGGAUGAACUCCGGGAUUCUAAGGAGAGGUCAGCAGGUGUUUCACAGACUGUUCCUGUUGGAGGAUUUGUCUGAUACUCUUCUCCUGAUUAGUCUGGGCUCUACAUUUCCCCAAGGGUGAAACUUGGAAGCCCUCUCCAGGAUGCAGCAGGUAGCUGAGGAGAAAACGAAGACUGACCAGCCCAGAGCUCAGAGCUUCCUCCCAUGCUCAGGAUUUACCACCAAUGCCAUUACAUCGGCCUCUUCUUGUAUGCCUCUGGAAACCACAUGUGUCCUCUGUUUGUAAUGGUUUGGCUAUGGUUGCUGGCCCCUCUUGGACAUUGUUUUCAGAACUUAAAGAAACAUUGCUUUAAAGAUUUAUUAGAACAUAUUUAAAAUAAAACCAUCUUCUCAUUUA
rnacentral:lncRNA from 1 species